UACAGAGGUCUCGAGCGUUAGGCGGAAUCACUGGGCUUAAAGCGUGUGUAGGCGGAUCGUUAAGUACCUUGUGAAAUCCCACGGCUUAACCGUGGAACUGCUUGGUAUACUGGCGGUCUUGAGCCAGCUAGGGGCGACCGGAACAAAUGGUGGAGCGGUGAAAUGCGUAGAUAUCAUUUGGAACGCCAAUGGUGAAAACAGGUCGCUGGGGCUGUGCUGACGCUGAGACACGAAAGCCAGGGGAGCAAACGGGG
rnacentral:rRNA from 1 species